AGCCACAUUAGAAAAUUAUGUAAUUUUAUUGAAGGAAAUAAUGAAACACAUUAAUAAUGUAUUUAUGGUUAGUUUAAUAAAAAGCUUAGUAUAUAUUUUGAUAGACCAACAUAUUUCUCUAAGGAUUCUAAUAAUCAUUAUAGUGAUGACAUGUGGCUACAAAAAAAAUGUUGUAAUGCUUCUCAAUUAAUAUAUAAGGGAUUACUCCAGGAAUUGGUCUACGAAUCCAAAGCGGAAUAAAAAAAAACCAACACAAAUCAAACUACGGAAAAGAUCCGAGCUAUCCUAGAUUUUCUGAGGCAGCGGUUUCAUCAAGUUUACCUCCACCAACACCCUUGCCACAUCCAUAUGCACACAUCUUUCAGUGUUUGGAUGGAGCUUCACAAAUUUCCCUGUAGUACGAGAUAAGAAACGAAGUCCAUCCAACGAGUAGAGGUAGCCUGGAACAUUCACCAAAUCCACCCACAGAGGCAGAGCACUAAGAUCUGGGGGAGCCUGAGCAUUUCUGGAUUCCACUCACUGACCACUAAUGGAACAUUAGCAAUGUGCCAGUACUUCCUCCUCAAGACCCGCUUCCUCACCAGCUCAUCUUCAAUCCUGAAGAGAACUGUUCUUUUGCUAAUGAACUGGACGUCAAUCUUUGAUUUUUGAGAGCUCCAUAUCCUGUUUACCGUAGAAUGAAUUGAUCCGAUAAACGGCGAGUCACCCAUGAAAUACCCAACCACACAACUCUUUCAUAGUGGCGCAACAUCCUCAAAAACCUCCACAGGAAUUUCGAUGUCCUAAUUAACUUUCAUUUCUUUUCACUUUUCAUUUCUUAUAUUGUGUUCAGUUUAAAUGUUUAUAUAUACUAUUUUCUCUAAUCAUGAGUAUAAAGUUUAUAACAACUCAUCUAUGCACCAUGAUUAUAAAAUACAAAAAUAUUAACUUGAACUUAUGAGUGAAAACGGGUUUUAAUCCCUUAUAUACUAAAGCGCAAGUCGCCUGACAAAUAAAAUAAUGCCACGUGGAAAAGUUGUAAAAAAUUAAUUGAUUUGUUUUUAUCUCUUAUUUUUAUGCAAUUUAAAUUUGUAACUACCUUUUGUUCAAAAAAAAAAAAAUUUGUAACUACCUAUAUUCCAAUUUUUUCUCAAAAAAAGUUACCCACGUUAACUCACAUCCUCCUCUGAAACUGUUUUCUUCAUCUCCUGUAUAAGUAUCAAAUCAUCUCCACUUUCUUCUACGUUGUAUCUCUAACAAACAAAAUCCUUCAAACUUUUUUCUUUACAUUUCAUUUGAGGUUGAAUUAUCAAAAUAAAUAGGUACAUCACGUUAUCAAAAGGAAGAAGUAAGUGUUUCAUAGUCCUCCAACAAUAAUAUAACGUUUACGUUUAUAUUUAUUACCCAUGUGCAUUGUGCAACCAUAAUCACUACUACGUAACCUAUUGCUUAUUAAUUUAUAGAUAUCAGUUUUCUAUGUUUUUGUCAAUUAUGUUUUAAAAGAUUAUUUUACAUUUUUGCUAUAGAUGGAGAGAACAAAUGUGAAAGAAGAUGACAAAGACUUGCAAUUCCGCUCAACUCAAGAUUUGAUGAAUCAUCACUAUAACGUCAGAGGUGGCUGAAGGGGUAAAUCAUCGACAUUAAAAUCAUAUAAUUUGAUAGUUAUCAACAUAAAAAAAAAUCUGAAUCUAUCGCAAAAUAAAACAGUCUUAAAAAUAAACAAACUGUCUCUAAAGAAAAUGAACACAAAUAGAUAGCAUUCAGUUCUUUCCUAUUUGCACUCCCUUCUUUAUUCUCAAUCGUUUCAUCUCUUCAAUUUUUUUUGGGUUUUGUGUUAGCAACAAAUAGAUAGCAUUAUGAAUAUUUUUAUUCCAAUUCAAAUUUAUCUUCUCAAUGUCAUUCUUCUUAUUCUUUUUGUAUGACUCAGCUUGAAGUUCGUUUUAGUGGAUUAUUCAUAAAAAAGUUAGGGACAACCAGGCUGUAUAAAUAGAUUCUAAAAAUCAGACCAUGGAAAUACUAAAGUAAAUAUUUUAUCACUUUUCUUUCAGUUAACCAUGGAAAGUUGCAAUGUUAUUGAGUUUUGUGGGUGAUAUUUUUUGGUUUAUCAUGGAUAUAAGGUAAUAAAAAAAAGGCUAGAACAUCUUACCUUAUUAAUGUGAAGAUUGAUGAUAGCAUAUCCGCAGUGUUUUGUGUAGAGGAGAUUAAAGUAAUAUGUAAACAAAGAUAUUUUAAUUUAUUACUGCCGUAAAUUGUUAUUAUUUUCUAGAUGUAUAUUAUACAUAAUUUAUGACUAUGCAAAUAUAUAUAACAUUCUUUGUCAUCUCUUGACACCUAAAAAUAUUAAGAGA